CAGGGCCAGGCUGUGUCAGGACUCUGGAGAGAGUCACGAGUUUCAUUGUUAUCCUUUUAGCAUUCAUUGCAGGUCUUCAUGCUGUGCUAAUUAGCAGAUCUCCAUAGAAAUCUGAAUCUACUGUGAUUUUAAUGGAAGAAAACUGUAUUGACUCAAGUUUCGCAGUCUCAUUUAGCCUCUGCUAUUUGAAAUUAUGACUCUGAGCCAUAUCCAGGCAUAGAGUUUUCAAGGCAUUUUCAAAGUGCUGGAAGAUGAACCUAAUCCAGUAACACGUGUGUGGUUUCUUCCACUAUGAAAAAUUGUGCAUCUUCUAGGCUUAAAUUAUGAAAGUGAGAAGAGGACUCUUAACCUUUACACCAAUACAAUACAGAUGGUAAAGGAUAAAACACUUUCUUGGAUAGAACAUCUGGCAGUUUCAUGAUCUCCACAAGCUGCUGGCUUCUCAGCAGCCUAACCCAAGGAGAUUUGUGUGAUCUCACUGGAUGCUGAGUGCUUAUGAAGACACCAAAGAUAUCCUUUGCCAAUGCUCUUAAGAGAGCAAACCUCGUUUUUCACAAGUCUACAAAAUCUUUGUGAAGAGGGUUGGAGUACUCCUGAGGGGAGGUAUGAGGAUGGAAGUGAGUCCAAGAGCAAUGCAGCACUGGAGCUGAGGGAGCUGCCUCAGUUUGCUGCUCACAGGGCACACGGGGGCUGAGCUGACACCAGCAAACCCCCUUCAGCUCAGCAGGGAGUGUCUGAACAACAGGAACAGAGCCACAGACAUCCAGGUGCAACAAUGGCAUUUGAAAAUAUUUCAGAGUUCCUGAUGUGUCAACCUGUAGGCUGGAUGCUGUUCUCUCUGUGCUAAAGAGCUUGGAAGGAAGGAAGGAAGUUUUUAGCCUCACAGCUGGUAUGGAGCUGGCUAACAACUAACUUCAGCAGAAGGGGCCUGAAAUGAUCACAGGGACAGGCAGAGCAGCAGUUGAUCUGAUGAGGUGAUUAAAAAUCAAGCAUCCAUGACAAAUAGCCCUUCAGAUUUGUUACAGGACUUCAGGAACUGAGCUGUUUACCUGGAAGAAUUGAGCAUUCAACCCAAGAAAACUGCUCAUGUGCUUUGGUUUUGCACAAUUGCUGUCACCUGAUCUGAACUGAGAACUCAAAUGCAAACUGACUAUAUUAGAAACUGAACAACAAUUAAGUCUUUUUUCUGAAAAAGAUGUUUUGAUGGAAAAUUGAAUUUCAAUUUCAUGUGAUUCAGUAUUUCCCUCAGAUAAAAUUUAGCAUGGUUUUUCUUAUAUUUCUGGCCAAACUUUUGUUCUGAUUCAUUGAAAGGCUUGUGCAUUUCAGUAAGAUCUGUAUUCUAUGAUUUGAUGGCUUGUGUAUUAAUUCAGCUCUUCUUUUCCCGCUUCUUAUGCUUAGAUAUUAGUAUUGCAAUCAAGGGCAGGAUUAUAAAAGGUCAAUAUAUUGAAUGAAAUCUCUGAUGCAUGGAAACCCAGAGAGGGAUAGCUGUAACUGUCAUGUUCUCUUUAAACAAAAAAUACCAGCCUCAUUUUAAUGAAAACUGUGUAGGAAAAAGACCCUGGUGAACAUAAGUUACAGUUGGAGCUCUCAAUUCAAUUUUAUUGCUUUAAAAUCUAUGAAAAUCAACACCAGAAAAAAUGGAUUUUUGAGUUACUGAAUAUAUUUUUGACUUUGAACUUCACAUUACAGAUCUUUUCCCUUAAGAUAAACCCCUAGGUAGCAAGAGAUCUGUCCUAGAUCAUGGAGUUUCAGUUUUUCCCAGUAUUCUGGGAGUGGCAGUGCAUCACCUAUCCUACCCAGGGGUUACCCUCCCAGUCCAGUGAGCUGCACUCACUUGUCUAUUUUGCAACAGGGCUGCCCCACAAAGGCCCACCAUUUUAGAGAAGGUGGAAAGAUGCAUUCUUCCCACCUUCAAAAUGCUGUACUAUUUGCACUGGCUGGGUGAUGGAAAUCUAUUUAUUCCCUCUUGACUGUGCCACUUGACAUCAGUACAGGAUACCUGGUUACACUGGUCAGUGUAGAAUUAUUAUUUUGUCUAAGGAUAAAGGCUUAUAUCUCCUUGACUCCUGCUGUUUUCCUUGUAUACCACUGCCCCUCCAGUGUUAAACAGUUCCUGCAGUUACACAUGGAGCUUGCCUCAGCUUAACCAGGAGUCAUUCCCCUGGCUUCUCAAGAAUUUCACUUUUCUAUGCUACAGAAGCACUCAGCUGUGCAGCACAGCUACAGCACGAGGCAGAUAUCUCAUGGUGCCCUGGGCAGCAACAAACACAAGAAAGGCUAAACUGAGCUUUGGAAACGGCCAUCAGUUGAUUUGCUUUUGUGAUUAUUUCAUGAAAAUUACGCAUCCUCUCUUAUAAUUUCCUUUUCUUUGUUACUAAUGGACCCUCUUCAGAUUUAAAAAAAAAAAGUCCAAAAGGUGAAUGCCUUAACUUCUUAGCAAAAAGUCUUUCCUUACUUCUUGUCAUGGACUCUUCCCUGUUUCUUCAGCCUUUGGAUUCUGUCUGUGGUGAGCAGCUGCCUUUGCUUUUUUUUCCUCCUCCCUCCCAACCCUGUCCCUACAGAUUGUACAACACACUCUGGAAGGGAUGGGAGAAACCAGGAAAGCACUGGGAAAAAAUGAAACAAUUACAAAGUCAGAGAGGAAGCUCCCAAAGAGAGGUAACAGGCUUCUGGAGGAAAAGAACUGCAAUGACUAAACUUUAUAAAAUGUAAUUUGGUAUUUGAAACUCAUAAAUCGACAGUGACAUUGAAUCCUUUGUGUAUUCAACUUAAAUAAAAUUUCACAGAUUCAGAAGCGAAA